CAGAGGGGGCUAGCGUUGUUCGGAAUUACUGGGCGUAAAGGGCGCGUAGGUGGCCUGCUAAGUCGAACGUGAAAUCCCCGGGCUCAACCCGGGAACUGCGUCCGAGACUGGCAGGCUCGAAUCCGGGAGAGGGAUGUGGAAUUCCAGGUGUAGCGGUGAAAUGCGUAGAUAUCUGGAGGAACACCGGUGGCGAAGGCGGCAUCCUGGACCGGUAUUGACGCUGAGGCGCGAAAGCCAGGGGAGCAAACGGGAUUAGAUACCCCGGUAGUCCUGGCCCUAAACGAUGAAUGCUUGGUGUGGCGGGUAUCGAUCCCUGCCGUGCCGAAGCUAACGCAUUAAGCAUUCCGCCUGGGGAGUACGGUCGCAAGGCUG
rnacentral:rRNA from 1 species